GACAGAGGGUGCAAACGUUGUUCGGAAUUACUGGGCGUAAAGCGCGUGUAGGCGGCGGUGCAAGUCGGGUGUGAAAGCCCUGGGCUCAACCCAGGAAGUGCAUUCGAUACUGCGCUGCUAGAGUCCCGGAGAGGAUGGUGGAACUCUCGGUGUAGAGGUGAAAUUCGUAGAUAUGGGGAGGAACACCGGUGGCGAAGGCGGCCAUCUGGACGGAUACUGACGCUGAGACGCAAAAGCGUGGGGAGCAAACAGG
rnacentral:rRNA from 1 species